GACGAACGCUGGCGGCGUGCUUAACACAUGCAAGUCGAGCGGUAAGGCCCUUUCGGGGGUACACGAGCGGCGAACGGGUGAGUAACACGUGGGUGACCUGCCCUCAGCUCUGGGAUAAGCCUGGGAAACUGGGUCUAAUACUGGAUAUGACUCCACGGUGCAUGUCGUGGGGUGGAAAGCCUUGUGCGGCUGAGGAUGGGCCCGCGGCCUAUCAGCUUGUUGGUGGGGUGANGGCCUACCAAGGCGACGACGGGUAGCCGGCCUGAGAGGGCGACCGGCCACACUGGGACUGAGACACGGCCCAGACUCCUACGGGAGGCAGCAGUGGGGAAUAUUGGGCAAUGGGCGCAAGCCUGACCCAGCGACGCCGCGUGGGUGAUGAAGGCCU
rnacentral:rRNA from 1 species